UGUGUCUGUGUGUGAUGUCAUUCCUUCCCUCUCUGCCAGCCCCCCUCUUUAAUGCACUGACACAUUCAGAAUGAGGACAGACAGUCAGUUUAUUACAGAUGGAUAGAAACAGAUACAGCUAAAGGCCACAAUCGACACCCCAGACAUGGCUCCUCUCCUCUUCCUCCUCUUCAUCGUUUUUAUAGCGGUACCAGCCGACGUCCCUGUAAAAAGCAAACAAACGACAUUAACAGGAUCAGCAGGAAGCUCCAUCAGCAUCCCGUGUUUCUAUGGUCAGCAGUAUAAAAACAGUGUGAAAUCCUGGUGUAAAAGGAAAGACACGUCAUCCUGCAGCCCAGAGGUACGCAGUGAUGCCCCACGGGGCAAUAACAGGGUGACCAUCACUGAUGAUCCCUAUAACUUAGUCUUCAUUGUGACCAUGAGGAACCUGCAGAAGUCAGAUGAAGGCAGUUAUUGGUGUGCUGUGGAUGAGUGGGGGGUACACAAGGCCACCUCUGAUGGAAAAUACAGUUUGAUUACUAAAGCUAAAGAGAGAAGUUCCACCCUGAAGACCUUCAGUUACUUAAGAGGACAAACGGGUGGAUCCAUCACCAUCCCGUGUUUCUAUGGUCAGGAGCAUAAAAACCGUGAGAAAUACUGGUGUAAAUCAGGAAAUACCCCCCCCUGCACAUCAGCUAUUAAAGCAACACAAACCAUCGCUGAUGAUCCCGAUAACUUAGUCUUCCUAGUUACCAUGACGAACCUGCAGCAGUCAGAUUGGGGAUAUUAUUGGUGUUCUGUGGGUGAAGGAGGGACUAAGGAAACGUCUGACAGUCUCUUCUUCCUGGUUACUCCAAAUGCUCAGAGUGUGAGGACUGAGACCUUGGUUUCUGCUCAGAGAGGACGACCUGUCACCAUCCCAUGUUACUAUGACCAAAAUUCCAAAGAUAAAACCAAAUACCUGUGCAGAGGAUAUGAAUGGGAUUCCUGCUCCAGAAUAGCACAGUCAGACGGGGAACAGAGUAGAGGGACAGUGUCAGUCUCUGAUGACCGUGACCAAAUAGUGUUUAAUGUGACCAUAAGGGACCUGCAGGAGGAGGACUUUGACUAUUACUGGUGUGCUGUGGAGACGUCUGCAGCACAAAGCCAUCGUGCCUUUAUGCCCCUGAUAGUCCGGGAAGUAAUUUAUGUUCCAACUACACAACAGACAGAACCGGUGACAUCACCGCUGACCCAUCCACGUGUCACUUUGACCCCCAACAUAACUGUACUGAGCUUCAUCAAGUCAGAUUUAAGGGGGCGAGCUCUGCAUAUCACCCUGCACACUGCUGUUGGUCUUGUCUACUUAAUCUGCACCAUUGUAGCUGUGAUGAGAACAUGGAGCUACUGCAGGAGAAAAGGACAGCGGGGCCAGAAGAUGUAAUUAGGCCAAGUUUGCAUCGAUGCUGUUGUCUCUGUUGGAUGGUGCUGGUCAACAAAAUAGGUCAGAUAGGGGGCUGCCUAGGGCUCCAUCUUCUGAGGGGGUUCCAACUUAGCAAAUUGCCAGCACCAGCCCCUGUCCAACCCCCUCUCCAUCCCCCCCUCCCCCCACGUGGAUCAUGUACAAAACCAGGCAAGGAAAAGUAACACUCGGCGCUAAAGUUUGAAUAUCGUCUAGGGCUUCGACCGGCACAGCUGUAGGAUAUUGUACAUUGGUCACUGCAAAAUUUUGUUUCUAAUGUAUAAAAUAAAGAUUCACUCUAAGUAUGUGAUGGAAAAUUUGCAGCAUGUUUACUUGCAAACAGAUGUAUUGAUGUACGUGUCACUUGAGGCCGGGUGUGAAGUUUGACACUUUAUCACUGCUGGCUUUGGCAGUUUAUUCCCCCUUUGAAGCUGGUGACCCACACUUACCAACACGGCUCUCUGUACAGUUUAGCAGAAGUGAAAUGCAGGCAGGUGGCCGACAGCCGAACAGAGGGGCGUAUGCAGGCUUUGCUGAAGGCGAUGCAGCUUAAGAUGGUUUUGUGGUAAUAAAACAGGCUGUUUUUAA